AGUUUUCAUUCGCUGUUUGUGGUGCAAAGAUGAUGCUUCUGUGCUGUCUGCUCGUGUUUUCAAUAACAGAACUUACAUUUGCACAGUCAAUAAGACCACUGCAGAAUGACAUUCAUGUCACUGAAAAGCAGCCGGUCAUGCUGUCAUGCAAAUAUGAGGGAAGUGCAAACAGUCUUCAUUGGUAUCGCCAGUAUCCUGGAUCCAAACCCGAAUUUGUGCUCCUUGUCAUGGAGGCAUCAACAAAACAUGUAAAAUAUGCAGAUCCCCGUAUCCCUGGAAUGGAUGGAAAAAUGAGCAUGAAAGAUAAGAAAGUGGAUCUGGAGAUCUCCGCUGCUGAAGUAUCAGACUCUGCUCUGUAUUACUGUGCCCUGGAGCCCACAAUUAAUUAA